GACGAACGCUGGCGGCGUGCUUAACACAUGCAAGUCGAGCGGUAAGGCCUUUCGGGGUACACGAGCGGCGAACGGGUGAGUAACACGUGGGUGAUCUGCCCUGCACUUCGGGAUAAGCCUGGGAAACUGGGUCUAAUACCGGAUAUGACCUCCUAUCGCAUGGUGGGUGGUGGAAAGAUUUAUCGGUGCAGGAUGGGCCCGCGGCCUAUCAGCUUGUUGGUGGGGUAAUGGCCUACCAAGGCGACGACGGGUAGCCGACCUGAGAGGGUGACCGGCCACACUGGGACUGAGACACGGCCCAGACUCCUACGGGAGGCAGCAGUGGGGAAUAUUGCACAAUGGGCGAAAGCCUGAUGCAGCGACGCCGCGUGAGGGAUGACGGCCUUCGGGUUGUAAACCUCUUUCAGCAGGGACGAAGCGCAAGUGACGGUGCCUGCAGAAGAAGCACCGGCUAACUACGUG
rnacentral:rRNA from 1 species